rfam:Ciona intestinalis ciona0075, whole genome shotgun sequence.
GUUGGUUAUGGCGACAUGAAGCCCAUCACAGUUGCUGGUAAGAUUGUGGGCUCGUUGUGCGCGAUUGUGGGCGUCUUGUUCAUCGCCCUGCCGGUUCCUGUCAUCGUAUCAAAC